AUUGCCUCAGUAACGGCGAGUGAAGCGGCAACAGCUCAAAUUUGAAAUCUGGCCCUAGGCCCGAGUUGUAAUUUGCAGAGGAUGCUUUUGGUGAGGUGCCUUCCGAGUUCCCUGGAACGGGACGCCAUAGAGGGUGAGAGCCCCGUCUGGUUGGAUACCGAGCCUCUGUAAAGCUCCUUCGACGAGUCGAGUAGUUUGGGAAUGCUGCUCAAAAUGGGAGGUACAUGUCUUCUAAAGCUAAAUACCGGCCAGAGACCGAUAGCGCACAAGUAGAGUGAUCGAAAGAUGAAAAGCACUUUGAAAAGAGAGUUAAACAGCACGUGAAAUUGUUAAAAGGGAAGCGUUUAUGACCAGACUUGGGCCGGUUGAUCAUCCAGUGUUCUCACUGGUGCACUCUGCCGGCCUAGGCCAGCAUCAGUUCGCUGCGGGGGAUAAAGGCGUCGGGAAUGUGGCUCCUCGGAGUGUUAUAGCCCUUCGUGUAAUACCCUGUGGUGGACUGAGGUUCGCGCUCUGCAAGGAUGCUGGCGUAAUGGUCAUCAACGACCCGUCUUGAAACACGGACCAAGGAGUCGUCUUCGUAUGCGAGUGUUCGGGUGUCAAACCCCUACGCGUAAUGAAAGUGAACGCAGGUGAGAGCUUCGGCGCAUCAUCGACCGAUCCUGAUGUUCUCGGAUGGAUUUGAGUAAGAGCAUACGGGGCCGGACCCGAAAGAAGGUGAACUAUGCCUGUAUAGGGUGAAGCCAGAGGAAACUCUGGUGGAGGCUCGCAGCGGUUCUGACGUGCAAAUCGAUCGUCAAAUAUGGGCAUGGGGGCGAAAGACUAA
rnacentral:rRNA from 1 species